GUGGGGAAUAUUGGGCAAUGGGCGAAAGCCUGACCCAGCAACGCCGCGUGAAGGAAGAAGGUCUUCGGAUUGUAAACUUCUGUCAUUGGGGACGAAGGAAGUGACGGUACCCGAUGAGGAAGCCCCGGCUAACUACGUGCCAGCAGCCGCGGUAAUACGUAGGGGGCGAGCGUUGUCCGGAAUUACUGGGCGUAAAGGGUGCGUAGGCGGCGAUGCAAGUCCAUUGUGAAAAGCCCGGGCUUAACCUGGGAGGUGCAGUGGAAACUGUAUGGCUUGAGUGCAGGAGAGGAAAGUGGAAUUCCUAGUGUAGCGGUGAAAUGCGUAGAUAUUAGGAGGAACACCAGUGGCGAAGGCGGCUUUCUGGACUGUAACUGACACUGAGGCACGAAAGCGUGGGGAGCAAACAGGAUUAGAUACCCGAGUAGUCC
rnacentral:rRNA from 1 species